GAGUUUGAUCCUGGCUCAGGAUGAACGCUAGCGGCAGGCUUAAUACAUGCAAGUCGAGGGGCAGCGCGGGUAGCAAUACUUGGCGGCGACCGGCAAACGGGUGCGGAACACGUACGCAACCUUCCCAAAACUGGGGAAUAGCCCUCCGAAAGGAGGAUUAAUACCCCGUAACACAAUUAAGAGGCAUCUCUUGAUUGUUAUAGCUCAGGCGGUUUUGGAUGGGCGUGCGGCUGAUUAGGUAGUUGGCGGGGUAACGGCCCACCAAGCCAUCGAUCAGUGACUGGUGUGAGAGCACGACCAGUCACACGGGCACUGAGACACGGGCCCGACUCCUACGGGAGGCAGCAGUAAGGAAUAUUGGUCAAUGGACGCAAGUCUGAACCAGCCAUGCCACGUGAAGGAUGAAGGCCCUCUGGGUUGUAAACUUCUUUUAUCUGGGACGAAAAAAGGGGAUUCUUCCUCACUUGACGGUACCAGAGGAAUAAGCACCGGCUAACUCCGUGCCAGCAGCCGCGGUAAUACGGAGGGUGCAAGCGUUAUCCGGAUUCACUGGGUUUAAAGGGUGCGUAGGUGGGCAGGUAAGUCAGUGGUGAAAUCUUCGAGCUUAACUCGGAAACUGCCAUUGAUACUAUCUGUCUUGAAUAUUCUGGAGGUGAGCGGAAUAUGUCAUGUAGCGGUGAAAUGCUUAGAUAUGACAUAGAACACCAAUUGCGAAGGCAGCUCACUACGGGAUGAUUGACGCUGAGGCACGAAAGCGUGGGGAUCAAACAGGAUUAGAUACCCUGGUAGUCCACGCCCUAAACGAUGGAUACUCGACAUAUGCGAUACACUGUAUGUGUCUGAGCGAAAGCAUUAAGUAUCCCACCUGGGAAGUACGACCGCAAGGUGAAACUCAAAGGAAUUGACGGGGUCCGCACAAGCG
rnacentral:rRNA from 1 species